rnacentral:tRNA from 1 species
GGAUUGUGGCUCAGAGGAAGAGGGCUUGCCUUGCAUGUGUGAGGCACUGGGUUCGAUCCUCAGCACCA